CAUCGACCGCUACAAUAACCAUUGAAAUCUCCUUAACAGUAAUAAUGAAGUCAUUAAAAGCUGCAAUCACCAGUCAGCCGCACGCCUUCGCCACUCUCUAGUUCGCCGGCUCACCACGCCUUCGCCUAAUCGUCUUCGCAGUGACUUCGCGGCUUCACCUAGUGCCCUAAUCGCCCGUGUAAUCUAAAUUGCAAAGGUAUGCCAAAGUACAAGAACUCACUCGAGUCUGCAAAUAAUUUGUUUUCUUCAAACCCGAUCAUUCUAGGUUGCAGUAAUUAGACAGGAUGGUGAAAAGUUCAUUCAAGCAACAACAUGAACUUGAGAAGAGGCGGAUUGAGGCUGGCCAGAUUAGGGAAAAAUAUUCGAAGAGAAUUCUGGUAUGCCAAGAUAAAAAAGGUUCAUGGAUAUGAGUCGGCAAAUGUCUCAACAACAACAACAACUAUGAUAUUUUUUAGUGGAGGCAAAUGUAAGUAGUUUAAUGUUUUAUUUUAAUAAUAUGGUUUCAACGGAGCUAACUAGUCGGCCUAAAUAAUGCAUGUCUCAUGCAACUGUUAAGAUUCUUCCUUUGGAUGUCACAACUUGUAUUUCU